UACGUAGGGUCCAAGCGUUAUCCGGAAUCACUGGGCGUAAAGCGUGCGUAGGUGGAUGUUUAAGUGAGUUGUUAAAUCGUGGGGCUCAACCCUGUCGAUGCAAUUCAUACUGGACGUCUAGAGGACAGCAGAGCAAGUGGAAUUGGUAGUGUAGCAGUGAAAAUGCGUAGAUAUUACCAGGAACACCAAAUGGCGAAGGCAGCUUGCUGGGCUACUCCUGACACUGAGGUACGAAAGCGUGGGGGGAGCGAACAGG
rnacentral:rRNA from 1 species